CACCUCUAGCAUAACUAGUAUUAGAGGCACUGCCUGCCCAGUGACAAUCGUUAAACGGCCGCGGUAUCUUGACCGUGCAAAGGUAGCAUAAUCACUUGUUCUCUAAAUAAGGACUUGUAUGAACGGCCACACGAGGGUUUUACUGUCUCUUACUCUUAAUCAGUGAAAUUGACCUCCCCGUGAAGAGGCGGGGAUAACAUAAUAAGACGAGAAGACCCUAUGGAGCUUUAAUUAAUCAACUCAAAAAGCAUAAAAUAAUACCACCAAGGGAUAACAAAACUUUACAUGAGCUGACAAUUUCGGUUGGGGUGACCUCGGAGUACAAAAAACCCUCCGAGUGAUUAAAACUUAGGCCCACCAGCCAAAGUAUAAUAUCACUUAUUGAUCCAAAAUUUUGAUCAACGGAACAAGUUACCCUAGGGAUAACAGCGCAAUCCUAUUCUAGAGUCCAUAUCGACAAUAGGGUUUACGACCUCGAUGUUGGAUCAGGACAUCCUAAUGGUGCAGCAGCUAUUAAGGGUUCGUUUGUUCAACGAUUAAAGUCCU
rnacentral:rRNA from 1 species